GAUAAUCUCGGGAAAUUGAGGAUAAUACUCCCAAGAUCAUGGGAUCUGGAAUGACCCAUGGUUCAAAGUUCCGGCGCUUAAGGAUCGGUCUGCGGCCUAUCAGGUAGUAGUAGUGUAACGUACCUACUAGCCUACGACGGGUAUGGGCCUUGAGAGAGGGAGCCCAGAGUUGGAUUCUGAGACACGAAUCCGGCCCUACGGGGCGCAGCAGUCGCGAAAACUUCACAAUGGGGGCAACCCCGAUGAGGGAAUUCCUAGUGCUAGCACAUUGUGUUAGCUUUUCUUUAGCUUAGAAAACUAGAGGAAUAAGGGCUGGGUAAGACGGGUGCCAGCCGCCGCGGUAAUACCUCAGCCCAAGUGGUGGUCGAUUUUAUUGAGUCUAAAACGUUCGUAGCCGGUUCGGUAAAUCUUUGGGUAAAUCGGGGGGCUAACCUCCCGACUUCCGAGGAGACUGCCGAACUUGGGACCGGGAGAGGCUAGAGGUACUUCUGGGGUAGGGGUAAAAUCUGUAAUCCUAGAAGGACCACCGGUGGCGAAGGCGUCUAGCUAGAACGGAUCCGACGGUGAGGGACGAAGCCCUGGGUCGAAACGGGAUUAGAUACCCCGGUAGUCCAGGGUGUAAACGCUGCAGACUUGGUGUUGGAGGCCCUUUGGGGGCAUCCAGUCCGGAGAGAAGUUGUUAAGUCUGCUAUUUGGGGAGUACGUCCGCAUGGAUGAAACUUAAAGGAAUUGGCGGGGGAGCAC
rnacentral:rRNA from 1 species